GCCGAUGUGGCGGAAUGGUAGACGCGGUAGACUCAAAAUCUACUCCUAGCAAUAGGGUUCAGGUUCGAGUCCUGUCAUCGGCA
rnacentral:tRNA from 1 species